ACUCUUAAACAGCUUUUUAUACUGAUUAACUUGAGUAAUUGAGAAGAUAGUGGGAUUUUUGGUGGAGAGUAAAAUUCGUUGAUAUCAAAAGGACGAACUUGCGAAGGCAACUGUCUAUUAGUUACUGACACUGAGAUACAAAAGUAUGGGAUUAAAGAGGAUUAGAGACCCUUGUAAUCCAUACCGUGACCGAUGAGUAUUGAAUUUUUCAUUAAAUUUUUAAGCUAACGCGUAAAUACUCCGCCUGGGACUAAGGUCGCAAGAUUAAAACUCAAAGAAAUUGACGGAGAUUUGACCAAGUAGUGGAGCAUGUGGUUUAAUCCGAUAGUCCGCGUAAAAUCUUACCAAUUCUAGUUUGAUUGUAAAAAUAUUUAGAAAUAUUAAAUAAGUUGAUAUUUAUUUGAGAAAUAAAUACAACAACAAUCAAUCAGGUGUUGCAUGGCUGUCGUCAGUUCGUGUUGUGAAAUUUCUGGUUAAUUCCAGGAACGGCGAAAUCCUUUGAUUAUGUUUUGAUCAUAAUUUAUUGCUAA
rnacentral:rRNA from 1 species